GACAAGAAUUCGAAUUCUGACUUCGUUGCUCGGCACAGCACCCAAACCAGUUUCGUUGUACUGGAGCUGUUGCUGUUGCUGUUGUACCAUGUGCCAGGUGACCGGAUCGUUUGGAUUGCUUUAAGAAUCAUAAAACAGGAAUCAUUCCCACGCCUGAAAGGAACAGAAAAACGUAAUUAGUUCGCAUCAUCGACACAGGAAGAGGAUACUUAGCGUGAAACUUGGUUAAUUACUUCGAAUCUUAAGGACGAGAACUUGUUGAUUCUUCGCUAGAAGCGCAACUUCCUGAUGGACCGCAUCCUCCACCGGAUACCCGUUCACCCUUAUAAUUUGAUCACCGACCUGGCGGAGAAAAAAACAAUACUGACAAAGUGAAACGAAGGAAAAACGUGAAGCCAUGGAUGAAGUAGAGCAUAAAGGCAGCUCUUUCGCAAUCACAAAAUCGAUUCAUAUCGGUUAAUGCGUAUCGAACGAACCGGUUAGUAGUUGGAUCGCUACCACUGUAGGACAGGAAUUUACCCUUAAUCCGUUUCUAUGAGCCUCGCUUCCUGGUUGCACGUCGCUGACGUAAAAUCCGGCCGCGUAUUCCCUUCCUCCUCGAAGGGAAAAACCGAAUCCGGAUGCUCCGCGUCGUCUUAGCCUGACGUUCCUGGUGACACCGAUGACGGCCAUCCUACCGCCUCCUGUUGGAUUCCCAGGACCUCCACCGGUCGAUGGAACCAUACCAGCACUCGGUGUGCCGGAUGAACCACCGGACCUAGGAAGCUGAAAAUCGUAUUCAGCGAACUGUGGAAAGUUUCGUUUCCCGUGUCGAGAUGGGUUUAAUCGUGUAUUUCGAAUAUGAUACACAGCUCGCUGGGAAAUUAAUGACCACACCUGGCGGUACUAUUGCCGCCCGAGCAGGCUGACAGAAGCGGAGGAGUCGAGGCAAAUUCCAGCAGGCAGACGGAAAAGAGUGCGUGGCAAAAGGAGGAGGUGAAACGUGGAGGCGAACGAAGAAGGAAAGAAAGACACUUUAUGUUCCCUAAUGACAUCGGGAAUCCAUCUUGCGUCGGACAUUGAAAAGAUUACGCGGAGUAUGAAGGGCUGUCGUAGAUUGUCGGACGUUGCAGGACACGAGGAUGACACCCGGGUAAAUGACAGUCAUUAGAAAGAACGAGAUACUAGUUUAAAAUGGCUCCGCCUAGCCGGAGGGCCCGACGUCUUCCACGGCGCGCCUUCGUGCCUCCGUUUCUUUUGCUCCUCGAACCUUACUACCGAAGGCAAAGGGAAAUUCCAUCUGCUCUUUCCUAUGAACAGCCACGGGCGCAAUGCGCCUGGUGGGUGUAGUCGCUAACCCACUCGGGUUAGCUUUUUCGUCCCAAUAUCAACGUCCCUUAGCGUUGGGUCUUCCGUACCCGAAAACGAUGAUUGGCAAGCCCAUGAGUGGACAGAUAAUCCAAACCCGGCGCCACUUGGAGGGUGGUGGCUGCUGGGGAGUGGAUUUAUUUUUAGCCCAAUUUGCGCCCUUUACAAAAGCUUGGGAACGGCGGAGCGGGUUAUGAGCGGGGUUUCGUUUUUCUUAGAUUUUAGAACUAUAUUAGCUGCUCUAAGUUAUCCGGUAUUCGAUUUUUGGCUGCAUUUGAUAUCUUCGUCUUCAGUUUACUCGGAGAAUAGAGUUUGCGCAUUUGAGAAAAAGGCGUUCGAAGGGAAGUUCGAAGCUGAGGGAUCGUUAGGUGAAGAUUUUUCUUCCAAGAGGUUCUUACCGAACGAGGACACCGUCGCGUUUACCGAGCUGUCGAGCAACGGCACAAGCGUCGGAGCAUUUGUUGAAAAACUGCUGGAAGCUCGCGACUGUUUUCCAACGCGUCUACAGCCUCUUCAACGAAACAGCCGACGACUUUCUUAAGACGACGCGACGUUAAAAAUACGUUAACAGCUCGUAAGAAGUAGCCUCCGUGUCAGUGAUCUCUGAACGAGAAAUCUCGGUAAGACCGGCCGUAGGUGUCGUAGUCGACAAGCCGUUCAGAAAAGGAGGAUCUUCUUUCUUGCACCGUAUUCCUCUUAUCUACCGCGGAUCAAGGGACUAGUCUAUCGAGAUCGAACCCGAGGGAACGGGUAGAAACCCAUCGAACACGGUAGUCGCGUUUCACGAAAGUUUCUUAUUAAAGCCCUAUAAGGAAAUAUGUAAUUCCCCGAUAAUUGCGAGUUCGCUUGUGCUCGCGGUGGUAAUUACCUCGUAAAUAGACGUAUGGAAAUUGGUUGGAAUAGAAAGUUUCUGGCCUUCGCGAUUCGUAGACUCGAGUCUACCCCGAAAGGUAUACAGGCUGUUUUGCCUGCUAAUAGUCAGUAGUAGUGAUGUACGGCCCGACUAAUUCGGCCGCGUCCGAAUCUAUCCGACUUUAUUCGACCUGACCCGAAAUAGUCGGGUUACCCGACUGCCCGUCCGAGCCCAUAAUAUCGGGUACUCGCGCAUCCCUAGUCAAUACCGAUAAUACGCAUCAACGAAGCGAUAACUAACUUCUUAUUGACCUGCAAGCGUCGAAGAAAAACCGAUUUCAAGAACAGCGCGCAAUCGCUUAUGUAAUCUCGAGGACAAUGGACGCGUGUAGAUUGUCAAGGAGCCAGGGCAUCGAUAUAAACGGACAUACCGUUACUGUCGUCGAUAUCGGUGUUUAACGAUCGACCCACGAAAGUGUUACGACUGUCACGAACCUCUUCCAUACCGUUUUCCAUCCGAGAAACAAUCGUCAAGAGCUCGCGUGUUGCCCCAUUAUCGCAUCAGAUACCCUGUAUUCCAUCCACAUUUUAUGCUAAUCAUUUACUUCGCCGAUCAGAAAUAAUAUUCGUCGAAAGGAUCAAGGAGGAAGAGCAGAGGUGUUUCUCGUGUACCGGGGUCAACGUUGUGUCUGCUUUUGGAGGGAAAGCAGGGAACGUUGGUCGUUGCACGAUAAACGUUGCCCCUUUCCAAGAAAUUAUUUCGUUUCUUAAUACCUCGGUUGCGGUAAUAAACCGCGUGAAGCAACAUCGUAGUUUCAAUGCGUUCGAAUCGUCACGCGCGAAUUAUAGUCGCUGAAUGUUGAACGUUUUUUCAACACGAAUUGGCACUUUUACUAAAGUACUUUCGUUGGUGGUAGUCGUUUGGCUUUCAAUAGUUUAGGAAAAAAAUAUCGUCGAAAGCUCCUUUUGGAUAAUGCCUUUCUUAACCCUCGAACGGUAGACGUUGGAGGCAGAAUUCUAAUUUAGGGGUCGAUCAUAUGAGGGUGAAUAUUUCUCUACUUUCAAUUUUUACUUCGCUAUAACAUUCAUUUCUCCUUUUUAUUUCGUGAAUUAAAAAUACACGAUUUGCAUUCAAGCGUCGCCUGCAACGAACAGCUGUACCGGCGAGACAAUUACAAUGCUCUCGGAGCACGUCGGGCUCGAAUACCGAUCAUUCGUGCGAGCGUAAACGUAAUGAAGUAACAGGACCCUUGAAUUAUCGAAUCAAGAUUCCGUUCACGGUUUAUGAUAAUCGUGGGACGUGCGAAGGGACCUGGCUCUGGGUUAAGUUCGUUCCUUGACACAAAUGGUGCUGCGAAAGAAAACGUAGAUUGUACCCAGUGAGUAAUGGUUUACUUUAUACAUUGCUACUAAACGACCCAUUAUCAGGUAGUUAACGAUGUCAGAUUUAUUCUCUAUAAUGGAGCUGGAAAUUAACUCGAUUGCACAUGUUGUUGUAACGAUUGCAGUCUGUUAAGUGAAUUUGUAUUGCCACAUCUGAUGGGACAUUAAGGGACGUAAUUGAUUAAACGACAGUGUUUGCA